CUAAAGUGCACUUCCCCUGUUCUCACCAGCUCCCUCUUCUUGGUCUACUUUGUUUCUCUUCACGUUCUGGUGAUUUUCCAUUACAGUGAGUGCGUGUGCACGCAUUAUGAUCCUCUCAAGGGACAAAGUUAUAAAGUUUCGGUAUGCUCUUAAAUGUGGGAAAAUAUACCCUUUAUUGAACGGGUUUUCAUCGUGUUCUUCAAAUGGGUCUUCUUUUGGUUCUUCUGAAAAUUUUGGUAAAGUAAAUACCUUUGUGGAUGAUACCUACCAAGACAAUGCAACAAAAUUAGAGGGCAUCAGAAAGGAACUGCAUGAUGUAUGCCGGGUGUUGGAUUCUGGUCCUUGGGGGCCUGUCCUUGAGGAUGCACUCAACAUGUGUGAUGAAAUGCCUCAACCAGAAUUGGUUGUUGGAGUACUCAGAAGGUUGAAGGAUGUGAAGGUGGCAUUGCAGUAUUUUAGGUGGGUGGAGCGGAAGACUGAACAAGCGCAUUGCCCUGAAGCAUACGAUGCACUUCUCAUGGUUAUGGCUAGAACCAGAAAUUUGGGCUACUUGGAACAGAUUCUUGAAGAAAUGAGUUUGGCUGGAUUUGGACCCUCUAAUAAUACUUGUAUUGAAUUGGUUACUAGUUUUAUCAAGUUGCGGAAGCUAGGAGAAGCUUUUGGUGUUAUUGAAACGAUGAGGAAGUUCAAGUUUCGCCCUGCUUAUUCAGCUUAUACGACAUUGAUUGGUGCCCUCUCUGCAGCUCAUGAAGCUGAUCUCAUGCUCACUCUCUUGCACCAAAUGCAGGAAAUGGGUUAUGAAGUAAGCGUACAUUUGUUUACCACACUGAUUCGUGUAUUUGCCAGAGAGGGGCGCGUUGAUGCUGCUCUAUCCUUACUGGAUGAGAUGAAGAGUAAUUCAUUUAAUGCUGACCUUGUCCUCUAUAAUGUAUGUAUAGAUUGUUUUGGAAAAGUUGGUAAGGUAGAUAUGGCCUGGAAAUUCUUUCAUGAAAUGAAAUCACAAGGGUUGGUGCCAGAUGAUGUGACUUAUACUAGCCUGAUAGGGGUUCUUUGCAAGGCUGAGAGGUUGGAUGAAGCUGUUGAGUUGUUUGAAGAGCUGGAUCUCAACAGGAGUGUCCCUUGUGUUUAUGCUUAUAAUACCAUGAUUAUGGGUUAUGGUUCAGUUGGGAAAUUUGAUGAAGCAUACAACUUACUUGAGAGACAAAAGAAAAAGGGAUGUAUACCUAGUGUAAUUGCAUAUAAUUGCAUCCUGACUUGCCUCGGAAGAAAGGGUAAAGUGGAGGAAGCAUUAAGAAUCUAUGAAGAAAUGAAAAAAGAUGCAGCACCUAAUCUUCCUACGUAUAAUAUUUUAAUUGACAUGCUUUGCAAGGCAGGAGAACUUGAAACUGCUCUGAAAGUUCAGGAUGCCAUGAAAGAGGCCGGCUUAUUCCCUAAUAUCAUGACUGUGAACAUAAUGAUUGAUAGACUAUGUAAAGCUCAGAGACUUGAUGAAGCUUGCUCCAUAUUUUUAGAAUUGGAUCAUAAAGUAUGCACUCCUGACACAGUAACAUUCUGUUCACUUAUUGAUGGCUUGGGCAGAAAUGGCAAAGUGAAUGAUGCCUAUAUGCUUUAUGAAAAGAUGUUAGAUUCUAAUCGGACUCCAAAUGUGGUGGUGUAUACAUCCCUUAUUAGGAACUUCUUCAAGUGUGGUAGGAAGGAAGAUGGUCACAAGAUUUACAAGGAGAUGAUGCAUACGGGCUGCUCUCCUGAUCUGAUGCUCCUUAAUACCUACAUGGAUUGUGUUUUCAAAGCAGGUGAAAUUGAGAAAGGGAGGGCUUUAUUUGAAGAAAUAAAGACUCGGGGUUUAAUGCCUGAUGUUCGGAGUUACUCAAUUUUAAUUCAUGGUCUUGUGAAAGCAGGUUUUUCAAAAGAAACAUACAAGUUGUUUUAUGAGAUGAAGGAACAAGGACUGCAUUUGGACACUCGUGCUUACAACGCUGUUAUUGAUGGAUUUUGCAAGUCUGGUAAGGUCAAUAAAGCUUACCAACUACUGGAAGAAAUGAAGACAAAGGGUCUCCAACCUACUGUUGUAACUUAUGGUUCUGUUAUUGAUGGACUUUCUAAAAUUGAUAGGCUUGAUGAAGCAUAUAUGUUAUUUGAAGAAGCAAAAUCAAAAGGCGUUGAUUUGAAUGUAGUGAUCUAUAGUAGUCUAAUUGAUGGGUUUGGGAAGGUGGGAAGGAUUGAUGAAGCAUAUUUAAUUUUGGAGGAGUUGAUGCAGAAAGGUCUGACUGCAAACACAUACACAUGGAAUUGCUUACUUGAUGCAUUAGUGAAAGCUGAGGAAAUUGAUGAAGCUCUUGUCUGCUUCCAGAACAUGAAAAACUUGAAAUGCUCUCCAAACGAAAUAACUUACAGCAUUAUGAUAAAUGGUCUUUGUAAGGUUAGAAAAUUUAAUAAGGCCUUUGUAUUCUGGCAAGAAAUGCAGAAAAAGGGGUUAAAACCCAAUACUAUCACAUACACCACCAUGAUUUCAGGACUUGCAAAGGCUGGAAAUGUUCUAGAGGCAAAAGGCCUCUUUGAGAGAUUUAAGGCAAGUGGGGGCCUACCUGAUUCAGCUUGUUAUAAUGCUAUGAUAGAAGGAUUAAGCAGUGCCAAUAAGGCAAUGGAUGCAUAUACACUUUUUGAGGAAACUCGACUGAAAGGUUGUCGCAUACAUAGCAAAACAUGUAUUGUUCUUUUAGAUGCAUUGCAUAAGGCUGACUGCCUUGAACAGGCAGCGAUUGUUGGUGCUGUCUUAAGGGAAAUGGCAAAGUCUCAACAUGCUUCAAGAUUGUCCUGACAACAGGUUGUGUGUAUGUAUUGUACUCACUGGAAUAGAUAUCUGGCUUCUUGAUCAAAUUAAGCAGUGGUUAUCUCAGUGUGUGCUUACCUUGUUACCCGUUGCCAUUGACUGAUGUGAUAAUUUGUGAGACAAAGUGAGCCACGAGAUUUCUAAUGUCAGCCGUUCUUUGACAAGUUUAAUGGUCCAGCCUCAAAGGAUAUUUUCUCAUACUUGACUGCCAAUGGACCGUCUUCAAGUUCUCUCUAUACUGUAAAAUAAUUCUAAGUUGGAUGCCAAUGAACUGUGGUCAGCUUCUCUUUAUACUGUGAGGAAAAUGUAUAUUUACAUUAUAUUAUAGGAAUGUUAUGAUCACUCGACUCAAAAAAAUUUGAUCAUCUGUGCUCACCUUGCUAAGCCAAAAGACACCAUGGUAUUACUUCUGGGUACCUAAAUUGGGUCCUCUACACUCACUUUUCUUCCCUUUCCCUGCAGGUCAUGAAGCACAUUGCGUGUGACUUUAUGUUAUUUGCAUUCCCAUUUGAGUUCAAAUUCUUUUGCCCCUAAAAUUGACGUGUUUGUGCCCCAUGAUCAUGUCUUCCUCCACUGUUACCGUUUGUAUUGGUUGUAGAUGUGCUAUGUUGUAGUUUUGGCAUAAUAAUUUGGGAACUAAAUUUCAUUGAGCAUAGUGAUCUCGAAACAGAAAUUUGGACAAUUUUUGCGU